UACAGGGGGUGCAAACGUUGCUCGGAAUCAUUGGGCGUAAAGCGCACGUAGGCGGUUCGUUAUGUCGGAUGUGAAAGCCCUUGGCUUAACCGAGGAAGUGCACUCGAAACUGGCGGGCUUGAAUAUGGAAGAGGGUCGCGGAAUUCCCGGUGUAGAGGUGAAAUUCGUAGAUAUCGGGAGGAACACCAGUGGCGAAGGCGGCGACCUGGGCCAAUAUUGACGCUGAGGUGCGAAAGCGUGGGGAGCAAACAGG
rnacentral:rRNA from 1 species